rnacentral:rRNA from 1 species
UACAGAGGUCUCGAGCGUUAGGCGGAAUUACUGGGCGUAAAGCGCACGUAGGCGGAUAUUUAAGUCAGGGGUGAAAUCCCGGGGCUCAACCUCGGAAUUGCCUUUGAUACUGGGUGUCUUGAGUAUGAGAGAGGUGUGUGGAACUCCGAGUGUAGAGGUGAAAUUCGUAGAUAUUCGGAAGAACACCAGUGGCGAAGGCGACACACUGGCUCAUUACUGACGCUGAGGCUCGAAAGCGUGGGGAGCAAACAGG